UACGUAGGGUGCAAGCGUUAAUCGGAAUUACUGGGCGUAAAGCGUGCGCAGGCGGUUUUUUAAGUUUGUCGUGAAAGCCCCGGGCUCAACCUGGGAAUGGCGAUGAAGACUGCAAGGCUUGAAUCUGGCAGAGGGGGGUAGAAUUCCACGUGUAGCAGUGAAAUGCGUAGAGAUGUGGAGGAACACCGAUGGCGAAGGCAGCCCCCUGGGUCAAGAUUGACGCUCAUGCACGAAAGCGUGGGGAGCAAACAGG
rnacentral:rRNA from 1 species